rnacentral:rRNA from 1 species
GAUGAACGCUGGCGGCGUGCCUAAUACAUGCAAGUCGAGCGAACAGACGAGGAGCUUGCUCCUCUGACGUUAGCGGCGGACGGGUGAGUAACACGUGGAUAACCUACCUAUAAGACUGGGAUAACUUCGGGAAACCGGAGCUAAUACCGGAUAAUAUAUUGAACCGCAUGGUUCAAUAGUGAAAGACGGUUUUGCUGUUACUUAUAGAUGGAUCCGCGCCGCAUUAGCUAGUUGGUAAGGUAACGGCUUACCAAGGCAACGAUGCGUAACCGAACUGAGAGGGUGAUCGGCCACACUGGAACUGAGACACGGUCCAGACUCCUACGGGAGGCAGCAGUAGGGAAUCUUCCGCAAUAGGCGAAAGCCUGACGGAGCAACGCCGCGUGAGUGAUGAAGGUCUUCGGAUCGUAAAACUCUGUUAUUAGGGAAGAACAAAUGUGUAAGUAACUAUGCACGUCUUGACGGUACCUAAUCAGAAAGCCACGGCUAACUACGUG